rnacentral:lncRNA from 1 species
GGGGUUCGUGUUAUUUAUUCUUUAGUUUUCUAUGUUGUUUCAUGUGUACUAUUGUUUGUCUGUUUGUCCUUUUAAUUUUUAGUCAUGGCGUUGUCAGUUUAUUUUCGAUUUAUGAGUUUGACUAUCCCUCUGGUAUCUUUCGUCCCUCUUUUAUGAACAAAUUAACCUAAAUUACAACAAAAGGAAUAGCCACAUUCCUUUAUGGUCAG